ACCCCUAAAUCCCUCCUUAAAAAACCCAGUGCCUGGCUGUUGCUGACGUGUGACCGCGUUUUAGUCCCGGUCGGUGUUACCAACCGUGACUAAAGGUCCUCCGGUCCUCGCGCCCUACAUAGGCCAUGUGGAGCACCUUUGUCCCGGUUCGUAACACAGCCGGGACUAAAACUUUGGGCAUUUAGUCCCGGUUGGAGAACCAGAACUAAAGACUGUCUGAAACCGGGACUAAUGACCCUUUUCCUUAGGUCGUGUGGCAAGCAG
rnacentral:lncRNA from 1 species